UUUUAUUUAGUACACUGGAAUUGAUAAUAAGAGACUGUACGUGUCUGUCGCUUAUUUGUUGGGCUAUCUUUCUUCUUCCUCCUCCGACAAGGACUAGCGUCUUCUCCAACUCAUCGUCUACACAGCUAAUCAUACGAAGUCCCAAUUUCACGUGGCGUGUUCGUUGCUGAAUCUCUGAUUCCUCAGAGGUGGUUCCAAUAUUGAAUUUUUACGAAUCACUUCUACCAAUUGGAGUACAAGCCAGGACCUCUAGACGAUUUUGUAAUGCAAUCGUUUCGGAACAAAUUGGUCCAGCUGUCUUCAGGUUGAAUAUGAUCUGAGGAUAAUUGGUUAUCGUCAGCUCUUAGAUGUAUUCUGGUCUAGUCAUGACUACUGCUAGAAGGAUCGGCUCUAGGAAGAAGUAUAGUAGUGAUGCUGUAAGAGAUGAAAGACUUGGAAAAAGAACUAGAUGAUAUGUGGCAGCGGAUAGCGAGGAUUAAAAUUAAUUAAAUGCAAUAUUUUUCCAUUUUUAUAAAAUCUUAAAUGUUUAAACA